GACGAACGCUGGCGGCGUGCUUAACACAUGCAAGUCGAACGGAAAGGCCCUGCUUUUGUGGGGUGCUCGAGUGGCGAACGGGUGAGUAACACGUGAGUAACCUGCCCUUGACUUUGGGAUAACUUCAGGAAACUGGGGCUAAUACCGGAUAGGAGCUCCUGCUGCAUGGUGGGGGUUGGAAAGUUUCGGCGGUUGGGGAUGGACUCGCGGGUUAUCAGCUUGUUGGUGGGGUAGUGGCUUACCAAGGCUUUGACGGGUAGCCGGCCUGAGAGGGUGACCGGCCACAUUGGGACUGAGAUACGGCCCAGACUCCUACGUGAGGCAGCAGUGGGGAAUAUUGCACAAUGGUCCGAAGCCUGAUGCAACAACGCCGCGUGCGGGAUGACGUCCUUCGGGUUGUAAACCGCUUUCGCCUGUGACGAAGCGUGAGUGACGGUAAUGGGUAAAGAAGCACCGGCUAACUACGUG
rnacentral:rRNA from 1 species